rnacentral:rRNA from 1 species
UACGGGGGGGGCAAGCGUUGUUCGGAAUUACUGGGCGUAAAGGGCUCGUAGGUGGCCAACUAAGUCAGACGUGAAAUCCCUCGGCUUAACCGGGGAACUGCGUCUGAUACUGGAUGGCUUGAGUGUGGGAGAGGGAUGCGGAAUUCCAGGUGUAGCGGUGAAAUGCGUAGAUAUCGGGAGGAACACCUGUGGCGAAAGCGGCGCACUGGACCACAACUGACGCUGAGGCGCGAAAGCUAGGGGAGCAAACAGG